UACGUAGGGUGCAAGCGUUAAUCGGAAUUACUGGGCGUAAAGCGUGCGCAGGCGGUUUUUGUAAGUCUGACGUGAAAAUCCCCCGGGCUCAACCUGGGAAUUGCGUUGGAGACUGCAAGGCUAGAAUCUGGCAGAGGGGGGGUAGAAUUCCACGUGUAGCAGUGAAAUGCGUAGAGAUGUGGAGGAACACCGGUGGCGAAGGCGGGAUCUGGGCCAGUACUGACGCUGAGGGAGCGAAAAGCGUGGGGGGAGCAAAACAGGG
rnacentral:rRNA from 1 species